UACGUAGGGUCCGAGCGUUGUCCGGAAUUAUUGGGCGUAAAGGGCUCGUAGGCGGUUUGUCGCGUCGGGAGUGAAAACACGGGGCUUAACCCCGUGCCUGCUUCCGAUACGGGCAGACUAGAGGUAUGCAGGGGAGAACGGAAUUCCUGGUGUAGCGGUGAAAUGCGCAGAUAUCAGGAGGAACACCGGUGGCGAAGGCGGUUCUCUGGGCAUUACCUGACGCUGAGGAGCGAAAGUGUGGGGAGCGAUCCGG
rnacentral:rRNA from 1 species